rnacentral:sRNA from 1 species
AAAAAAAUAAUCUUAAAUCAUUGAAAACUCUUUAAUAAAUCGUAUAAGAAAAUAACAUAGUAGAAAUAAACCUGAGGUUCCCAAAAUACACCAUAAGCAAGACGGACUUGAGCGACUUCACACGAUUCUCACCGCGACCUGGGGAAAAAGGGAAAAGAAAGGGGUGAGUAAAGAAUUACUCAGUGAGAGGAUCCUUUCCGCCCACUGGAAAUACGAUACACGAUUCUACCUUUAAACCACAAUCAACAAUCACAUAGAAAAUAGACACAACACUCUUAUAGUCUCCAUCUCUAUGCAAAACUAUAACAAACAACUCAUUCUUGCUUAAGCAAGAUCUCCACAUCAUUUCCAAGUUCGAUCAUCUCCCUGACCUUUGAACCUAUCUAGUUCCUCUGGACUCGUCAGUCUUUUAUUGAGCUACAACGAAUCCGUCAAUUCAACAAAGGCCCAUUGGUUUAGUAGUAAAAGAAGGUAAUUCUCACCAUCUAGGUUCGAGUAGUAUUAGACACCGGAGUUCAAACAAAUUAAGAUAGUUUUUCCAGAUCACAGAAUUAGGUUUUGGGCGUCUUGAAAACUUUUAGCAUCUUUUGAUCGUCUAGGAGAGCUUUUAUGCAUUAGUUAGUAAAAACCAAUCACCUUGCGUUUUUAUUUUGGAGGCGAUUCAGUUUUAUUUAAAUUAUGUUUUGAGGUGGACCUCUCUUUUUUAAGGCAAACCUUAUCUUUUAAAUUACCAGGUGAACUUCUUCUCUGUUUAUUUGUGAAGUUAUCUUGUCAUUUUAUUUGCGAGGUGGACCUUGGCUUACUUUAUUUCAAGGUUAGCCUAAUAUUUUCAUAUAUUCACCAGGAGGACCAUGUCAUGUCAUGUCUUAUAAUCAAAGUGGAACAAAGUUCGAGUAUUAAAGACACCAUUAUGUACUAACUCUUUUCCUAUAGAAGGCUUAACUAUCAUAUUUUUAUGGGUAUGAGACUUA